GAGUGAUGUGGAGACGGAGGAGUGACAACGCCGCGGACUGACGGAAUAGUCCGUUAAAGGGUGUAGAUGUUGAUUAUCCCAGGCAAAUCCGGGAUAAGAGUCGAACCUGACAGUAUACCAAUUUCCUCGGAAAACGGUAAUAGUGCGUGUAAACAUACUCCCAAGAAAAUCCGCUAAACUUAAUCUUAUAGGUACCCGUACCGUAAACGGACACACGUAGUCGGGUUGAAUAUACUCAGGCGCUUGAGUGAAUCACGGUUAAGGAACUAGGCAAAUUGACCCUGUAACUUCGGGAUAAAGGGUCCCUACCCGGUGACGGGAGGGCGCAGAGAAUAGGUCCAGGCAACUGUUUAACAAAAACACAGGGCUGUGCAAAAUUGAAAGAUCACGUAUACAGCCUGACACCUGCCCGGUGCUGGAAGGUUAAGAGGAGAUGUCAUCGCAAGAGAAGCAUUGAAUUGAAGCCCCAGUAAACGGCGGCCGUAACUAUAACGGUCCUAAGGUAGCGAAAUUCCUUGUCGGGUAAGUUCCGACCUGCACGAAUGGUGUAAUGAUCUGGACACUGUCUCAACCGUGAGCUCAGUGAAAUUGUAGUAUCGGUGAAGAUGCCGAUUACCCGCGAUGGGACGAAAAGACCCCGUGAACCUUUACUAUAGCUUAACAUUGAAUUUGGGUAAUUGAUGUGUAGGAUAGGCCGGAGACUUUGAAGCAGGCACGCCAGUGUUUGUGGAGUCGCUGUUGAAAUACGGCCCUUUGGUUAUUUGAGUUCUAACUCGCUGGUGCGAGGACACUGUUUGGUGGGUAGUUUGACUGGGGUGGUCGCCUCCAAAAGCGUAACGGAGGCUUCUAAAGGUGCCCUCACGCCGAUUGGUAACCGGCGGUAGAGUGUAAUGGCAUAAGGGCGCUUGACUGGGAGACUUACAAGUCGAUCAGGUAGGAAACUAGAGCAUAGUGAUCCGGUGUUUCCGUAUGGAAGGGACAUCGCUCAAAGGAUAAAAGGUACUCCGGGGAUAACAGGCUGAUCCCUCCCAAGAGCUCAUAUCGA
rnacentral:rRNA from 1 species